GAUUAGCCUGCGUCCGAUUAGCUAGUUGGUGGGGUAAGGGCCUACCAAGGCGACGAUCGGUAGCUGGUCUGAGAGGAUGACCAGCCACACUGGAACUGAGACACGGUCCAGACUCCUACGGGAGGCAGCAGUGGGGAAUAUUGGACAAUGGGGGCAACCCUGAUCCAGCAAUGCCGCGUGUGUGAAGAAGGCCUGAGGGUUGUAAAGCACUUUCAGUGGGGAGGAGGGUUGAUAGGUUAAGAGCUGAUUAACUGGACGUUACCCACAGAAGAAGCACCGGCUAACUCCGUGCCAGCAGCCGCGGUAAUACGGAGGGUGCGAGCGUUAAUCGGAAUUACUGGGCGUAAAGGGUGCGUAGGUGGUUGAUUAAGUUAUCUGUGAAAUUCCUGGGCUUAACCUGGGACGGUCAGAUAAUACUGGUUGACUCGAGUAUGGGAGAGGGUAGUGGAAUUUCCGGUGUAGCGGUGAAAUGCGUAGAGAUCGGAAGGAACACCAGUGGCGAAGGCGGCUACCUGGCCUAAUACUGACACUGAGGCACGAAAGCGUGGGGAGCAAACAGGAUUAGAUACCCUGGUAGUCCACGCUGUAAACGAUGUCAACUAGCUGUUGG
rnacentral:rRNA from 1 species